UGACCUUCACCGGGGUCAGCGCGUGGAUGGUGUUGACAGUGGGAGAGGUUCACGAACAUUAGAAGGAAACGCGAGUUACUGAACAAAGUGUUAUGACUGAGGGAUUCAAUGAAAGGUGGUGGAUGUCCCCUAGAUCUGGGUAGCGACGGCGCCGUGUCGACAUGGGGGAUGUAGCGGGAGGGGUGUGUGGCCCCGGCACCAGCUCCGCCUCAUGUCGCCCUCAGCUCCACCCCGUGGAGCGUCUGUGUGUGACGCUGAAGCCGCCGCCCUUCCCGGGGUGGCUGAACCAGACGGAGGUGGAGACGUACAAGCGAGACUGCUCCAGCUGGCGAACAUAUGAAGAUAUUUGUAUUCAUGGGAGAGGAUCACUCCGAUUUGGCUUCGAAUCUCCGCCAAUGUCUCCCACCACCUGGAUCGCCCCCGGCAUCGCAUUCUCAGCAUCUGCCAUCUUGAUCAUUGGGACCAUCAUCGCCUACCUCUGGCACCGGAAAUACAGGAACAAGUACACCGUGGACAGUCUGCGAUACCACAGCUACAAGAACGGCCAAGGCACCACCACGCCCCCUGACCACGCCCACAAGGUGGAGAGCUACUCUGUGACAGUCAUCAGCACCGGGAAGGUGGUUGAUAUCGUCGAGUGCGGUGAACAUGAGACACAUCUAGACUCAGACGAAGGCAUGAAGGUGGAUGUGAUUAGUGAACCAGAUAUUACAUCAGAGCACGACAAGUUGGAUGUGACUUCCAGCCCCGAUCUGUCUCCGGACCAGGACUACUCCAGCUUCGUGCUGCCAAAUGUUGUGCCAUACCAAGACAUGUUCCCUUAUGGUGACCUCAGCCCGCAGGGGGGGUCACGUGACCCUCUCAAAGACGGUAAGGGAGUUGGCAGGAGUGAGAGUAGCGAGCCCAUCCGUCCCACUGGACGGGUGUAUGAGGUCGGGUAUGUUAACCCAGCGUAUGAUGGUAAUGACAGUCUAAAGGAAGGACGCUCACCAAAGAAGAAAAAAAAGAAACCUCGGAUGUUUUUCAGUGAUAGGAAGGCAUCCAACAAACAAAUGAAGUAUUAGGAGAACUUGAUGCAAACACUGAACUGAGCGGUUUGAUAUUGAGCUGUGUGGAGAUCUUGUGCGGCAUUACACAGGUGUACAGGCUAACGAUGUACCUGUGUAUUCAGGUGUACAGAGAGGCUAAUGAUGUACCUGUGUAUACAGGUGUACAGGGAGAGGCUAACGAUGUGCCUAUGUAUGGAGGUAUACAGGGAGAGGCUAACGAUGUACCUAUGUAUACAGGUGUACAGGGAGAGGCUAACGAUGUACCUAUGUAUACAGGUGUACAGGGAGAGGCUAACGAUGUACCUAUGUAUACAGGUGUACAGGGAGAGGCUAACGAUGUACCUAUGUAUACAGGUGUACAGGGAGAGGCUAACGAUGUACCUGUGUAUACAGGUUUACAGGGAGAGGCUAACGAUGUACCUAUGUAUACAGGUGUACAGGGAGAGGCUAACGAUGUACCUGUGUAUACAGGUUUACAGGGAGAGGCUAACGAUGUACCUAUGUAUACAGGUUUACAGGGAGAGGCUAACGAUGUACCUAUGUAUACAGGUGUACAGGGAGAGGCUAACGAUGUACCUAUGUAUACAGGUUUACAGGGAGAGGCUAACGAUGUACCUAUGUAUACAGGGAGAGGCUAACGAUGUACCUGUGUAUACAGGUGUACAGGGAGAGGCUAACGAUGUACCUGUGUAUGGAGGUAUACAGGGAGAGGCUAACGAUGUACCUGUGUAUGGAGGUUUACAGGGAGAGGCCAACGAUGUACCUAUGUAUACAGGGAGAGGCUAACGAUGUACCUGUGUAUACAGGUGUACAGGGAGAGGCUAACGAUGUACCUAUGUAUACAGGGAGAGGCUAACGAUGUACCUGUGUAUACAGGUGUACAGGGAGAGGCUAACGAUGUACCUAUGUAUACAGGGAGAGGCUAACGAUGUACCUGUGUAUACAGGUGUACAGAGAGGCUAACGAUGUACCUAUGUAUACAGGUGUACAGGGAGAGGCUAACGAUGUACCUGUGUAUACAGGUUUACAGGGAGAGGCUAACGAUGUACCUAUGUAUACAGGGA